UACGUAGGGUGCAAGCGUUGUCCGGAAUUAUUGGGCGUAAAGAGCUUGUAGGCGGUUUGGCGCGUCUGCUGUGAAAUUUCGGGGCUCAACCCCGAACUUGCAGUGGGUACGGGCAGACUAGAGUGUGGUAGGGGAGACUGGAAUUCCUGGUGUAGCGGUGAAAUGCGCAGAUAUCAGGAGGAACACCGAUGGCGAAGGCAGGUCACUGGGACGGUACUGACGCUGAGACGCGAAAGCGUGGGGAGCAAACAGG
rnacentral:rRNA from 1 species